GACGAACGCUGGCGGCGUGCUUAACACAUGCAAGUCGAACGGAAAGGCCCUGCUUUUGUGGGGUGCUCGAGUGGCGAACGGGUGAGUAACACGUGAGUAACCUGCCCUUGACUUUGGGAUAACUUCAGGAAACUGGGGCUAAUACCGGAUAGGAGCUCCUGCUGCAUGGUGGGGGUUGGAAAGUUUCGGCGGUUGGGGAUGGACUCGCGGCUUAUCAGCUUGUUGGUGGGGUAGUGGCUUACCAAGGCUUGGACGGGUAGCCGGCCUGAGAGGGUGACCGGCCCCAUAGGCCUAAGGGAGGGAGCAGAGGGCAAUGGGGGGCAAUGGGGGGAAACAUUAUCCAGCUGGGCGGAGUGCAGGAUGAAGACCUCCGGGUUGGGAAGUGCGUUUGUGGGGUAGGAAACGCCUUCGGCUGAUACGGAGGGGGCGUGACGGUAACGGAAGAAGAAGCACCGGCUAACUACGUG
rnacentral:rRNA from 1 species